CAGCGCCACGGUAAUACAGAGGGUGCGAGCGUUAAUCGGAUUUACUGGGCGUAAAGCGUGCGUAGGCGGCUUCUUAAGUCGGAUGUGAAAUCCCUGAGCUUAACUUAGGAAUUGCAUUCGAUACUGGGAAGCUAGAGUAUGGGAGAGGAUGGUAGAAUUCCAGGUGUAGCGGUGAAAUGCGUAGAGAUCUGGAGGAAUACCGAUGGCAAAGGCAGCCAUCUGGCCUAAUACUGACGCUGAGGUACGAAAGCAUGGGGAGCAAACAGGAUUAGAUACCCCUGUAGUCCCUGUCUCUUAUACA
rnacentral:rRNA from 1 species